AUCCAGCUGACGAGUCCCGAAUAGGACGAAACGCGCGUCCUCGAU
rnacentral:hammerhead_ribozyme from 1 species